AGACACGCAUCCAGCCGGUUCAAGGGCUUGU
rnacentral:piRNA from 1 species